GUUUGCAUAUGUGUGCUGUGUCAGUGCUGCACACACUUUAAGAGCUGUAGUGCUGAUCAGAGUGUGUUCAGUCCUUUCAGAGCCACUGACACGCAGCACAAUGAUGAUGGUACUGAUUCUACUGCUGGGGACACUGGGACUCCUCGCUCACCAGUCCUUUGGGGAAAUCGUCAUGACUCAGUCUCCAGGAUCUCAGUCUGUUUCUCCAGGACAAUCUGUUACUCUCACCUGUACAUCCAGUCAGAGUGCUGGUGGUUGGCUCCACUGGUACCUGCAGAAACCUGGAGAAGCUCCUAAACUCCUGAUCUAUGCUGCAACUUCUCGUCAGUCUGGGAUUCCAGAUCGUUUCAGUGGCAGUGGAUCUGGUUCACAAUAUAAUCUAAAAAUCUCUGGAGUUCGGUCUGAAGAUGCAGGAGAUUAUUACUGUCAGCAGAGUAAUAGCCUUCCGUACACACAGUGUUAUAGCGUGGUACAAAAACCUCCCUCAGCUGUAGAGGAAGUGCUCUGACUCAGAAACACACACUGAUCUGAGAACAGCUGCAGAGCUGCUAAAGCUGCACUCCAC